rnacentral:rRNA from 1 species
ACCUCAAGUCAUGUGAGAGUACCCGCUGAACUUAAGCAUAUCAAUAAGCGGAGGAAAAGAAACUAACAAGGAUUCCCCUAGUAACGGCGAGUGAAGCGGGAAGAGCACAAAUUUUAAAUCUACCUUGGUUUUCCAGGUCGAGUUGUAAUUUGAAGAAACGUUUUUUACGUUCCGGGUUGGAUUAAAUCCUUUGGGAUAAGGUAUCAUGGAGGGUGAGAAUCCCGUGUAUACCAACCACUGGAAUGUUAUUAAUACGAUUUCUAAGAGUCGAGUUGUUUGGGAAUGCAGCUCUAAAUGGGUGGUAAAUUUCACCUAAUGCUAAAUAUAAGCGAGAGACCGAUAGUGAACAAGUACCGUGAGGGAAAGAUGAAAAGAACUUUGAAAAGAGAGUUAAAUAGUACGUGAAAUUGUUGAAAGGGAAACGGUUGAAGUCAGUCAUGCCGGUGGGAAUCAACUUAGGGGAAACUCUAGGUGCACUUCUUCGCUUGGCAGGUUAGCGUCGAUUUUGGAUGUCAUAAAAUGACUGGGGGAAGGUAGCUCCUUCGGGAGUGUUAAGCCCUUGGUAGAUGUGAUGUUCGGGAUCGAGGAUUGCAACGGAUACCCUUUGGGCUAGCCGCCUGGUCUCUAAUACGAAGUUGGGUUAUGGAUAGCAUGCUAACCAUGAUCUGAUUUUCGGUUAAAAGAUUAGAGUGAGUGUAAAUUCGUUAAGGACGCUGACGUAAUGGCUUUAAACGACCCGUCUUGAAACACGGACCAAGGAGUCUAACAUAUAUGCGAGUGUU